GAUGAACGCUGGCGGCGUGCCUAAUACAUGCAAGUCGAGCGAACAGACGCGGAGCUUGCUCCUCUCACGUUAGCGGCGGACGGGUGAGUAACACGUGGAUACCCUCCCUGUCUGUCGGGGAUAUCUUGGGGACACCGGAGCUUAUAGCGGAGAAUCUAUUGAACCGCAUUGUUCAAUGGUAAGAUUCGGUUUUUCGGUCUCUUAUAGAUGGAUCCCCGCCGGAUUAGCUAGUUGGUAAGGUCACCGCUUACCAAGGCUACGAUGCGUAGCCGAACGCAGAGGGUGAUCGCCCGCACUGGAACUGAGACACGGACCAGAGUCCUACGAGACGCAGCAGUAGCGAAUGUGACGCAACGGGCGAAAGCCUUACGGAGCAACGGCGCGUCAGUUAUGAAGGGCCUCGGAUCGUAAUACUCUGUUACUAGGGAAGAACAAAUGUGUAAGGAACUAUGCCCUUCGUGACGGUAACGAAUCAGAAAGCACCGGCUAACUACGUG
rnacentral:rRNA from 1 species